CACAAAUAUGAAGGCGGGCUGGAACCUCUCGGGGUUACAGCCUUGCUGAAUUAUUCAACCCUUGUCUUUUGCGUACUUCUUGUUUCCUUGGUGGGUUUCGCCCACCACUAGGACAAACAUAAACCUUUUGUAAUUGCAAUCAGCGUCAGUAACAAAUUAAUAAUUA
rnacentral:misc_RNA from 1 species